CCUGAUGACGCAUGAGAAUUUAGUGACAGUAAAAGGGUUCACAAGUUCAUGGAAGUUAAUGCUCAUCUUCAUGUAGUAGAUCUCCACCAUCAUAUGCCUAUAUGGGGUGGUGGGGUGGGGUGUGAGGUUCAUGCUAGUUGGGGGGGGGGGGAGGUGGUGGAGACAAUCUGAUUCCCAUUGUGCAACCAUAACAUUAAAUAAACAGAUUUUUUGAUGUAAAAAUAGAUAUGAUUUUCAUUAUUUUUUGAUGGAUGCAUUACCCACUACCAUGAAGUAAUGACAAUGGUGCAAAUGUGCAAUAAAUCCC
rnacentral:lncRNA from 1 species